GACGAACGCUGGCGGCGUGCUUAACACAUGCAAGUCGAACGGUGAAGCGCCUUCCUUUUUGGUGGGUGUGGAUGAGUGGCGAACGGGUGAGUAACACGUGAGUAACCUGCCCCCUUCUUCUGGAUAACCGCAUGAAAGUGUGGCUAAUACGGGAUAUUCUGGGUCUGUCGCAUGAUGGGUCUGGGAAAGAUAUUGGUUCGGUGGGGGAUGGGCUCGCGGCCUAUCAGCUUGUUGGUGGGGUGAUGGCCUACCAAGGCGGUGACGGGUAGCCGGCCUGAGAGGGUGGACGGUCACACUGGGACUGAGACGCCGACAAGACUCCUACGGGAGGCAGCAGUGGGGAAUAUUGCACAAUGGGCGCCAGCCUGAUGCAGCGACGCCGCGUGAGGGAUGGAGGCCUUCGGGUUGUGAACCUCUUUCGCCAGUGAAGCAGGCCUGCCUCGUUUGUGGGUGGGUUGACGGUAGCUGGAUAAGAAGCGCCGGCUAACUACGUG
rnacentral:rRNA from 1 species